rnacentral:rRNA from 1 species
UACAGAGGGUGCAAGCGUUAAUCGGAAUUACUGGGCGUAAAGCGCACGCAGGCGGUUCGCCAAGUUUGGAGUGACAGUUGUCGGCUCAACCGACAAAGGACUUCAAAAACUGGUGAACUUGAGGACGAGAGAGGAACAUGGAACUCCAGGUGUAGUAGUGAAAUGCGUAGAUAUCUGGAAGAACACCAAUGGCGAAGGCAAUGUUCUGGCUCGUUUCUGACGCUCAGGUGCGAAAGCCAGGGGAGCGAACGGG